rnacentral:rRNA from 1 species
AGCGAACGCUGGCGGCAGGCCUAACACAUGCAAGUCGAACGAACCUUUCGGGGUUAGUGGCGGACGUGUGAGUAACACGUGGGAACGUGCCUUUAGGUUCGGAAUAACUCAGGGAAACUUGUGCUAAUACCGAAUGUGCCCUUCGGGGGAAAGAUUUAUCGCCUUUAGAGCGGCCCGCGUCUGAUUAGCUAGUUGGUUGAGGUAAUGGCUCACCAAGGCGACGAUCAGUAGCUGGUCUGAGAGGAUGAUCAGCCACAUUGGGACUGAGACACGGCCCAAACUCCUACGGGAGGCAGCAGUGGGGAAUCUUGCGCAAUGGGCGAAAGCCUGACGCAGCCAUGCCGCGUGAAUGAUGAAGGUCUUAGGAUUGUAAAAUUCUUUCACCGGGGACGAUAAUGACGGUACCCGGAGAAGAAGCCCCGGCUAACUUCGUG